rnacentral:misc_RNA from 1 species
AAAAUCUAAAUAAAAUGAAAAGACACUUCUAUUAUCUGGUAACUUAUAGUUAUCCCCCUUUUAGUAGUUAGUAGUAAUGAUUUCUAACUCACAAGUCACGGGGUUUGAUUUUCUUCAAAAGUGAGUUUUAAAACAGACUCGAUGCUGGUGCCACCAAGAUGUACUAAUUUACCCUUUCACAGGUAUUGAGUGGAAAGUUGUGGAGUUGUUCUUGAAGCCCCACUCGCACAAGUCUAGUUUAAUUAUAAGAAGUUAAGUAUUUUUGAAUGAAGACACUCAAUU